rnacentral:rRNA from 1 species
UGCCUAGCCCUAAACAGACAAUCAUUUUACAAUCGUUUUUCGCCAGGGAACAACGAGCCUCAGCUUAAAACCCAAAGGACUUGGCGGUGCUUUAGACCCACCUAGAGGAGCCUGUCCUAGAACCGAUAAUCCCCGUUUAACCUCACCCCCUCUUGUUCUUUUCCGCCUGUAUACCUCCGUCUUCAGCUCACCCUGUGAGGGCCUAGUAGUGAGCAAAAUUGGCAAUGCCUAAAACGUCAGGUCGAGGUGCAGCUUAUGAGGGGGGAAGAGAUGGGCUACAUUUUCUGCCCCAGAAAAUACGAAUUUUGCCCUGAAAAAGCAUCUGAAGGUGGAUUUAGCAGUAAGGAGAGACUAGAGCGCUCUCCUGAAGCCGGCCCUAAAGCGCGUACACACCG